UUAUUGGACACAGGUUUCAGAAUGAAGAAAGAUGACAGCUGCAUCAUGCAACUCAUUAAUGCCAAGGGCGAAUUCAAUGCUUCCGGGCUCGACAACUUUGUCAAGGAAGUGAAGCUUGAUAGUUGCGGGGUCUUCUAUAACAUAGUUUCCAUUAUGGGCCCUCAAGGCGGCGGGAAGAGCACUUUACUGAACCAACUUUUCGGCACGAAGUUCAGGGUAAUGGACUCACAUAGGAGGACACAAACAACAAAGGGCGUUUGGAUUGCCAAAUGUGUUGGAAUUAAGGAUUGCACGGUUGCCAUGGAUUUGGAGGGUACCGAUAGCGAGGAGAGAGGCCAGGAUGAUACUUCUUUCGAGAAACAAGUUGUCCUAUUUGCGCUGGCAGUUUCUGACAUUUUGCUCAUAAAUAUGUGCUACAAAGAAAUUGGACGGGAGCAUGCAGCAAACAAACCUUUACUAAGAACAGUAUUUCAAGUCAUGAUGCAGAUAAACAUCCCCAAACGUAAAAAGACGUUACUGUUUGUUAUACGUGAUGCUGAUACAUCAGAGAACCACCGAGUAGCCCUUAAAGAUCAAUUAUUGGACAAUAUACAGAAGAUAUGGGCUGAAGUUCAGAAGCAUGCGGGGACUCAACUCAAUGACAUUUUUGUGGUAGAAGUAGUUGCUUUGUCCCAUUAUCGAUAUGAAAAGGACACGUUUAACAAGGAGGUUGAUGAACUGAGACUUGGAAAAGCGAUGUCUAUGGCUGGUAAUAGAGAGGGUGUCAUCCCUGGCGACGCAUUCUCUUUCAGUUCACAGAAAAUUUGGGAAGAAAUAAAAACGAACAAGGAGCUGAAUCUUCCUUCUAUCAAGGUUCUGGCAGCCAACUUUAUGUGUGAAAACAUGGCCAAGAAAAAAUUCAAUCAGUUGAUCUCUAGUAAGGAUUGGUUGGACCUGGUAGAAGCUGUCAAAAAUGGUCCUGUAGAAGGUUCGGGUGAACGUCUCAGCUCAAUUCUAGACACCCAUCUUUCUGGCUAUGACGAGGAGGCCAAGUACUAUGACAAAGGUGUGAGGGACUCAAAACGACAUGACCUACUGGAGCAAACCGCAUUGGAUUUUGUGCUCCCGGCAUACACUACCAUGCUCCGCCGCCUGCAUUCUAGAACACUUGAGAAUUUUAAAGUAGAACUGAAGCAGUCAUUAAACAAUUCUGGAGAAGGAUCUACUUCAUCUGUUAGUACCUGCAUCAACUCUUCCAUGCAAAAGUUUGACCAAGGAUGUAAAGAAACUGCCAUGCAACGGGCCAAUUGGGAUUCUUCAAGCACUCGAAAAAACCUUCAGUUGGAAAUUAAUGAACAUGUUGACUUUCUGAGAAGAGAGCUGAUAAUCAACUCUAAAGAACAACUUUCUGAAUCUAUAUCUGCAAGUGCUCGGCGCCUACUUGAAGAUGGCGGACAAGACACCUGGAUCGAAAUAAGAAAGCUUUUUAAUCAUGAGACUGAAGCUGCAGUAAAAAAAUUAUCAACUGCACUUGCUCGUUUUGAGUUGGACAAAGUAACAAUUCACGAUAAGGUGCAAGAAUUGCGCGUGCAUGCAAGAGAAGCGGUGGUGAAACAAGCAAAAAGAGAGGCUGUCGAUGUCAAACUUCUGAGCGACAUGAAAGAACAGUUUGAAAAUGACUUCAAAAAACACAGCGACUCAAAUCUUGAAUUUUGUAAGGGUAAAGAAAACAUUCGAAAAAAUGCCAUGAAUGCCCGCAAAAAUAUUAUUAGUCAGAUUUUAUCGGUUAGGGCUGCCAUUCGCUUGGAUGCUGAGAAGCCAGAUAGUAUUGAAAAUGUUCUCAUUUCUUCUCUAAUGGGUGAAAAUGGAGAGUCUACAAAUUCACUUACCUCAAGUGAAUGGUUGGAGUCUCUCUCUCUCUCUCUCUCUCGUUGUCAUCGAAUCCCAAAUCCCCAACUGCUGCAUUCAGUGCCCGGAAGCCUCCUCCACGACUGACCCAUCAUCAAGGAUGGCAAGCUCUACCUCAUCUCAGCUCACGAACAGCUCUUGAAAAGCCGACUGGGGCUUUAGCUCUCUCUGUCUCCCAAAACCACAGAACUCGCCGAGUCGACUCGGACCCCAAAACCGGCCUCUGACUCGGUCCUCCCGAAGCCAUGCAAGUGCUCUCCAACACUCGCAGGCUCUCCAGAGUCCUCAAAUCUCCAAUCUUCAUCUUCUCCGAACGACUCCUCGCUCCCGACGCGCCCCUCGCCGAAGCUCCACGAGCUCGUCUCCAAUGGCGGAAGCUCCUCACCACUCUCUCUCCCCAACCCUCUGGCAUUACUCGAGGUUGUUGUCUUUCGCCGACGGAGCAACACUCGAUGAUGAUUUCGCUUACAGAACGAAAAGAAAACCGGCAGCGGGUUGUCCACCUGGUCUGGCGACUCCGUCAUCUACUUUCAUCGCUAAGACGACGACGACUGGUGAACCAUUUUCCAAAUUGAUUUCCCCCAAGAUUUCGAGUCCUCCGCAUACCCGUUGACUCCCCCCCCCCCCCCCCCCCCGGGUCACUCCAUCGGGUCUCCACUGCUUCACUCCGGCCGCCAUGCACGACGGAAAAAGAAUAAUCGUCGCCACUCGCCGCUGCAACACGAAGUUCCGACACGUGGAGGUCUUCGACGUCGACACGAAGAUGUUCCAUCCGGUCACCUCGACGCUGAACCCGGAUUUCCACCAUUUCAACCCGUUCGUUUCUCCGGACUCCUAGUUCCUCGGGUACCACCGAUUCCGCUGCGAGUCGACUCAGUGGGGCGGCGAGUCGAUAUUCCUCACCUGGUCAACCCGUUUGAUUGAGUUUUGAUGGAUGGGUGUUUUGAUUGGAGAAGAAGGGUAACGAGAGAGAGAGAGAGAGAGAGAGAGACUUUGUCUCUCAGUGUUUUGAUGGUAUUGAAAAUGAUUUGGGAUUCGAUGACAACGAGAGAGAGAGAGAGAGAGAGAGACUGAAGAAAAAUGGUUGGAGAAGAAGGGUAAUAUGGGAAACAAAUAUAAGAGAGCAUCAGAAAAUAUUAAAAAAUUAAGAAGGGGGUGCAGAUUGUAAUAUUGGGGGUGCAAAUUUCACUCCCCUUUUUUAAUCUAUGUAGACCAAUAAAUGUACGGGAACAGAAUAAAAAUAGUGUAUGUUAGGGACAGCUGAUUUCAUCCCAAGAAAAAAAAAAACUUUGAUUUUUAAAUUUAAAUAAAGAAUAAGCAGAAACCCAUGAACGAGAACAUAAAGAAA